UCCCUGUGAUGAUCGAAUACGAUGACGAGUCCGAUUUUCCAUUCUUUCAAAUCGUGACGACAAUUCGAGGCAUUUGUCUGAGAGAA